rnacentral:lncRNA from 1 species
AUCAUCAGAAGUUACUGCUAAUUAAUGGUGGGCUGCUCUGAAGGACUGCCAGCAGUUGGUUUAAUAUAUGUGAACAUCUCUGCUUUUUCCACGUUGGCAUCUCUUAGGAAGAACACCAGUACAACAAGCUGCAAUGACUCUUUCCUGAAAUAAUAUAGUUUGGCUUACUACAGAGCAAUAAAAUACCUAAAUUAAUAUUUUCAUGCCAAAUGCACAAUUAACCCCAUGGGAAACAAAAAGAAAAGCAUUAUACAUUUUUUUAAUAGUUCUUUUUUUAUUAAAACAAUUAAAUAUAUAUUGCAGGUUUUUCAAAAAAGGGAGAAAAUUUUUCUGAUGUAAAUCAUCCCUUGUAACCGUGCAAUAUUUGAUUUUGAUCUAAAGGUGUCAGAGAUGGUAUUGUGUAACAUAAUCCUAGGAGACAAUGUCCAUGUGUGUGUUGAGCUCUUCUGUUUUUGAAAAUAAAGUUGUUCCUGGGUUUUGUGACAUGCUGCACCAUUCAGAAGCUCCGUGGAGUUUUCCCACACCAGUUUGCAUAUUGCAAUUCCUCAGGCUAAAAUGCCAUAUCAGCUAUUCAAGGUGUGCUGGGAAGGAGUUGUACUUUGUUGCUGCUGCCAUCAGAAACAUGUCAUGGAACUUUCCACUGCCUCUACAGACACAAAACUCCACAGACUUCACUGGAAUUGACAGUAUUCCAGGCAGCCACAUAUGCACACAGAUUACUGGUGCCACUCAUCUGUGUUUAAUUCCUGAAAUCCACCACCAGGAACAUCAGUAUUCACAACAGUUGCUUCUCCUCCACUCUUGGCUUACAAGGCUUACAAGAAGGAAGUACCUGAACCCUCAAAUCCAGGUUUGGAAUGUCGAGUUCAAAUCACAGGUCUGUGCUGUCAAUUUGGAAUCUCUGGCAGCAGGAGUCAUUUGAUGAGGAUAACUGGAAAAACAAAAGUCUGAAGCUCAGCUUCCAUGUCCAGGCUGGUUUGGGCUCAGGAUGGACAGGCAGAUGUGAAGGGCUGGAAUGGGGCUGAAGAAACAUUCAUUAUAAGCCUUAUAUGAGAAAAGCCCUGUUAAAGAUCUUUUUAUUUUUCAUCACAGCUCAUUGACCCUGAAGUAAUUAGCAUUAAAUAUCACUUAGGG